AGAAAUAUUUUUAAAAUUUCUACGGUCAUUUCCAAAGCUUAAACAAUGUCUGGAAAAGGAGAAGAAAAUUUAAACCAACAUCCCAGUGUUACUAUUUAUGUAUUUUUUUCCAAACUUAAAUCAUCUUUUCAAAGAUUGGGAAGAUUUUGGAGUAAUAAAAUAACUCCAAAAAGUUAAAUGAUGAUUUUCAUAGGAACAGUGAAAAAUAAAAAAAUUUUCAAAGCUUGCAAAGCUCUUCUAGAAAUUAUUCAAUUAAUUUCAGAAAGUAGAGACAGCGUUUUUGUUAACGAAAAAUUACUGUGCUAAUUGAACUCUUUAACUGACAAAUGAUAGAGCAGACUAUACAAAAACUGGUAUCACUAAAGUUGUAUUAAAUAGAUGAUGAUUUUAAAGUAAAUUUCAUGGUAAUUUGGACCAACAGAAGCGUCUUCGUGAUGCUGCGACCAACACCAAUUAAUUAAUCGUCAAUUAUUUGUAUUUUUAAUCCACACUAUUAUUGGAAUUGGGAUUUGAAAGUGUUGAAGAUGAAGCAGCGAAAGCGCGAAAGAACUAGGGUGCAGGUGAAGAAAUAAAAUAAUCACCGCUGUGAUGGAACAGCCGAUGGAAAUAAAAAGUAUUUAUAUAGAUGAUACACACAAUAUGCCAGGUAUAUUGCAUUGAAUAAUUGCCAUAUAUAUUUGCUCCACCUAUUCCAUUAUUACUCCAUUCAGGACGUAAAUAAUUAUAUAUAUCUUCUACCUGGUAAUUGGACUCAAUUGUAUCCGGAGUUCAUUACAAUCUAUCACUAAACUUAAAUAGUUGCGAGUCAUUUAGCAAAAUGUCUUAAGAAAUCUCAACAUUUUUAUUCUCUUUAUUUCCAAACGAUAAAAUAGCUUUCAUUUAAUUCGUCUUGGUAGUAGUAUUAUAAAAGCCUCGUUUACAUAAUGACUGAAAAACAAUUAAAAUUCUACAAGAGUUGUCAAUCAUCUCAGUUACUCUGUUGUUAGUAUUGUUAUAUACUUUAUUGUAUUACGUAUUAAUGUCUAUUGUUAUUAAUUCUCAACAAGUCGAACUAAGAGCGUAAGCUUGUUAUAAUCUCAGAAGUCGCUUGCGUGGUGUUUGCACCCUCUUACGUCUCUUGGAUCCCAAAAAUGUUCGGGCGCUCGGCAAGUAGAAAGUGCCGUGUUUGCAGAAUUCAUUGAAUCAUUGCCAUUGCGGGAGCACGCGCCCUGGGCAAUUUUUCAAUUGUUAUUUCUCCCUGAGAGAACAAGUGAAUAAUGGGAGAUUCGAGAAGGGAGACACGAGAUUGUAUACCUAUACUAUCCAUCAGGGAGUUUAUAUAGAGAUGAUGAGCUUUAUUAUAUUUCACUAUGACCCAUAGGCACUUUUUCACAAUUAACUUGCCAUAAACUCUUUGCCAUUCAUACACGUUGACAAAAAAAAAUUUAUAUGAUAACUAGACAUUGAAAAUGUCAGCAAGUGAUAUUCCUACUUAUAAU